rnacentral:rRNA from 1 species
UACGGGGGGGGCAAGCGUUGUUCGGAAUUACUGGGCGUAAAGGGCUCGUAGGCGGCCAACUAAGUCAGACGUGAAAUCCCCAGGCUCAACCCGGGAACUGCGUCCGAUACUGGGAGGCUUGAAUCCGGGAGAGGGAUGUGGAAUUCCAGGUGUAGCGGUGAAAUGCGUAGAUAUCUGGAGGAACACCGGUGGCGAAGGCGGCAUCCUGGACCGGUAUUGACGCUGAGGAGCGAAAGCUAGGGGAGCAAACGGG